GACGAACGCUGGCGGCGUGCUUAACACAUGCAAGUCGAACGGAGCUAAGUUUUCGGAUUUAGCUUAGUGGCGAACGGGUGAGUAACGCGUGAGGAACCUGCCUUUCAGUGGGGGACAACAGUUGGAAACGACUGCUAAUACCGCAUGAUACUAUUGAGCGGCAUCGCUUGAUAGUCAAAGAUUUAUUGCUGAAAGAUGGCCUCGCGUCUGAUUAGCUAGUUGGUGGGGUAAUGGCUCACCAAGGCGACGAUCAGUAGCCGGACUGAGAGGACGAACGGCCACAUUGGGACUGAGAUACGGCCCAG
rnacentral:rRNA from 1 species